rnacentral:rRNA from 1 species
UACGUAUGGUGCAAGCGGUGUUCGGAAUCAUUGGGCGUAAAGGGCGUGUAGGCGGGAGACUCAGUGGGAAGUGAAAACUUCGGGCUCAACCCGGAGCCUGCUUUCCAUACUGGUUUUCUGGAGUUCAGGAGGGGCAAGGGGAAUUGGCAGUGUAGCGGUGAAAUGCGUAGAUAUUGCCAGGAACACCGGUGGCGAAGGCGUCUUGCUGGCCUGAAACUGACGCUGAUGCGCGAAAGCGUGGUGAGCGAACGGG